UACGUAGGGUGCAAGCGUUGUUCGGAAUCACUGGGCGUAAAGGGAGCGUAGGCGGGAUCGUAAGUUAGGAGUUUAAUACACGGGCUUAACCCGUGGCUGGCUUUUAAUACUGCGGUUCUUGAAUGUGGGAGAGGGCGAUGGAAUUCCAGGUGUAGCGGUGGAAUGCGUAGAUAUCUGGAAGAACACCAGUAGCGAAGGCGGUCGCCUGGCCUAACAUUGACGCUGAGGCUCGAAAGCUAGGGGAGCAAACAGG
rnacentral:rRNA from 1 species